rnacentral:rRNA from 1 species
GACGAACGCUGGCGGCGUGCUUAACACAUGCAAGUCGAACGGAAAGGCCCUGCUUUUGUGGGGUGCUCGAGUGGCGAACGGGUGAGUAACACGUGAGUAACCUGCCCUUGACUUUGGGAUAACUUCAGGAAACUGGGGCUAAUACCGGAUAGGAGCUCCUGCUGCAUGGUGGGGGUUGGAAAGUUUCGGCGGUGGGGGAUGGACUCGCGGCUUAUCAGCUUGUUGGUGGGGUAGUGGCUUACCAAGGCUUUGACGGGUAGCCGGCCUGAGAGGGUGACCGGCCACAUUGGGACUGGGAUACGGCCCAGACUCCUACGGGAGGCAGCAGUGGGGAAUAUUGCACAAUGGGCGGAAGCCUGAUGCAGCAACGCCGCGUGCGGGAUGACGGCCUUCGGGUUGUAAACCGCUUUCGCCUGUGACGAAGCGUGAGUGACGGUAAUGGGUAAAGAAGCACCGGCUAACUACGUG